CAGCGCCACAAGUGGGGACCAUGUUUAUUGGGCCUAAAGCGUUCGUAGCUGGUUCUGUUAAUCUUUUGUGAAAUCGUUGGGCUUAACCUAACGGCGUGCAGGAGACACUGCAGAACUUGGGACCGGGAGGGGUUAGAAGUAUUUCUGGGGGAGCGGUAAAAUGCAGUAAUCCCGGGAGGACUACCUGUGGCGAAGGCGUCUAACCAGAACGGGUCCGACAGUGAGGAACGAAAGCCAGGGGAGCAAACCGGAUUAGAUACCCGCGUAGUCC
rnacentral:rRNA from 1 species